CUUUGCAUUCUGCUGUACAUGCCUACCUACCUAUGCUGCUCAUCCUCCAUGCCCUCGAUCACCUGCCACGCUCCUUGCUUUUCAUGCCACUUGUUUUUGGUCACAUUAUUAGUGUUCACACCUUGAAAAGCUGUUGCACCAAGUGGACUGACAUGAGUCAUAGCUCCAACACGAGAGAUGCCUUUGAACAAAGAAGAGGAAUAUCAAACUUCAUCAUCACACAAUUUUGCAAAAGGUGUUAAUUGCUGCAGCACAACCCGCUGGUGCAGAGGAGCAUCGACAUCUGGACCAAGAACUAACAUGCCUUUUAGGAGCUGGAACUGGCCAGGACGACACGAGAUGCGCUUGUGGACUGAUUGGAGACGGAUGGGGAAAUUAACACUCAGGCAAUGUGAUUGGAGAAGGGGACUGGUGGGAGUUGCUACUUAGCAGAGAGAGAGGGAGGGCAGAAAAGGUGUCACGAGCAUGGACACGCCACUUGUGAGUAACGUGCUGGGACGCAGAAGGGGUCGAGAGAGUGACGUAGAACAACGCACUGGAGUGCCGACGCACAUCAACCAGACGGCAGUAGGCCAGGACGAGCACAUGCCCACGGGAGAUAUUGGCUUAACGCCAAAGUUAAAAAAAUAUGGCAAGUAAAGAAAAGCUUAAUAAUUCUUUCCCUGGUGGGCGUGUUUGUUUAUGACAAGUUUGCACCCUUCUGCUCUCCUCACGGCGACGUCCCAGGAAA